rnacentral:rRNA from 1 species
AUUGAACGCUGGCGGCAUGCCUUACACAUGCAAGUCGAACGGUAACAGGUCUUCGGAUGCUGACGAGUGGCGAACGGGUGAGUAAUACAUCGGAACGUGCCCAGACGUGGGGGAUAACGAGGCGAAAGCUUUGCUAAUACCGCAUACGAUCUAAGGAUGAAAGCAGGGGACCGCAAGGCCUUGCGCGUUUGGAGCGGCCGAUGGCAGAUUAGGUAGUUGGUGGGAUAAAAGCUUACCAAGCCGACGAUCUGUAGCUGGUCUGAGAGGACGACCAGCCACACUGCGACUGAGACACGGCCCAGACUCCUACGGGAGGCAGCAGUGGGGAAUUUUGGACAAUGGGCGAAAGCCUGAUCCAGCAAUGCCGCGUGCAGGAUGAAGGCCUUCGGGUUGUAAACUGCUUUUGUACGGAACGAAAAGGCUCUGGCUAAUACCUGGGGCACAUGACGGUACCGUAAGAAUAAGCACCGGCUAACUACGUG